rnacentral:rRNA from 1 species
UACGGAGGGAGCUAGCGUUGUUCGGAAUUACUGGGCGUAAAGCGCACGUAGGCGGCUCUGUAAGUUAGAGGUGAAAGCCCGGGGCUCAACCCCGGAAUUGCCUUUAAGACUGCAUCGCUUGAAUCCAGGAGAGGUGAGUGGAAUUCCGAGUGUAGAGGUGAAAUUCGUAGAUAUUCGGAAGAACACCAGUGGCGAAGGCGGCUCACUGGACUGGUAUUGACGCUGAGGUGCGAAAGCGUGGGGAGCAAACAGG